rnacentral:piRNA from 1 species
UGUUUCUAAGGUGUUUUACUCAUCUUUUGU